UGAUAAUGCUGGGAUGUGAUGGGGAGCGAAAUUUAGUAGCGAAGUAGCUGAUUUCACACUGUCAAGAAAAGUCUCUAUCGAGGUUAAAGGUACCCGUACCGCAAACCGACACAGGUGGGUGAGGAGAGUAGCCUAAGGCCCGCGAGAGAACUGUUGUUAAGGAACUCGGCAAAAUGACCCCGUAACUUAGGGAUAAGGGGUGCCACCAUCCGGUGGCCGCAGAGAAUAGGCCCAAGCGACUGUUUACCAAAAACAUAGGUUU
rnacentral:rRNA from 1 species